UUGGUAUUUCUCAUUAUUUAAAAACCUAUUUAGGGGAUGAUAAAGAAU
rnacentral:sRNA from 1 species